rnacentral:rRNA from 1 species
CGGAUUAGUUUGAUCCUGGCUCAGAUUGAACGCUGGCGGAAUGCUUUACACAUGCAAGUCGAGCGGCAGCGCGGGGCAACCUGGCGGCGAGCGGCGAACGGGUGAGUAACAUAUCGGAACGUACCCAGUCGUGGGGGAUAACUAUCCGAAAGGAUAGCUAAUACCGCAUACGACCUGAGGGUGAAAGGGGGGGAUCGCAAGACCUCUCGCGAUUGGAGCGGCCGAUAUCGGAUUAGCUAGUUGGUGAGGUAAAGGCUCACCAAGGCGACGAUCUGUAGCUGGUCUGAGAGGACGACCAGCCACACUGGAACUGAGACACGGUCCAGACUCCUACGGGAGGCAGCAGUGGGGAAUAUUGGACAAUGGGCGAAAGCCUGAUCCAGCCAUGCCGCGUGAUAGAUGAAGGCCCUCUGGGUUGUAAAUAUCUUUUAUCUGGGAAGAAACAAUCUUAUUCUUAAGAUCUUGACGGUACCAGAGGAAUAAGCACCGGCUAACUACGUGCCAGCAGCCGCGGUAAUACGUAGGGUGCGAGCGUUAAUCGGAAUUACUGGGCGUAAAGCGUGCGCAGGCGGUUCCAUAAGACAGAUGUGAAAUCCCCGGGCUUAACCUGGGAACUGCGUUUGUGACUGUGGGACUCGAGUGUGGCAGAGGGGGGUGGAAUUCCACGUGUAGCAGUGAAAUGCGUAGAGAUGUGGAGGAACACCGAUGGCGAAGGCAGCCCCCUGGGUCAACACUGACGCUCAUGCACGAAAGCGUGGGGAGCAAACAGGAUUAGAUACCCUGGUAGUCC